UGUCAAGCGAGUUACUGGUAACCCAAUGUUCCAUGCAAUGUCUGAGAUCUCCUCCAUUGGCAUCUCUUCAUUCGAGGGUAGCCCUUCCGAUACAUCAACAGAUGCUGCCGUUCCUUUGCAAGAUGAUCCAUGUCGUCAUCUAUAUCAAUCAACAUCUAAUAACCCCAUGGGCCCACACGACAUAGUAGUCAAUAAUGGAUUGGCUAACAUUUCGCAGGUGG
rnacentral:misc_RNA from 1 species